UACGAGAGGCCCAAACGUUAUUCGGAAUUACUGGGCUUAAAGAGUUCGUAGGCGGCGCAGAAAGUAGGGUGUGAAAGCCCUCGGCUCAACCGAGGAAUUGCGCUCUAAACUACUGUGCUUGAGGGACCUAGAGGUGAGCGGAACUGAUGGUGGAGCGGUGAAAUGCGUUGAUAUCAUCAGGAACACCGGUGGCGAAGGCGGCUAUCUGGACCGACAUUGACGCUGAGGCGCGAAAGCGUGGGGAGCAAACAGG
rnacentral:rRNA from 1 species